rnacentral:rRNA from 1 species
UACGGAGGGGGCUAGCGUUGUUCGGAAUUACUGGGCGUAAAGCGCACGUAGGCGGCUUUGUAAGUUAGAGGUGAAAGCCCGGGGCUCAACUCCGGAAUUGCCUUUAAGACUGCAUCGCUAGAAUUGUGGAGAGGUAAGUGGAAUUCCGAGUGUAGAGGUGAAAUUCGUAGAUAUUCGGAAGAACACCAGUGGCGAAAGCGGCUCACUGGACCACAACUGACGCGUGAUGGCGCGAAAAGCUCAGGGGAG